rnacentral:sRNA from 1 species
AUUGGGCUAUUUUCCCACCCUUAGGCUGCUGGUGGUCUACCCUUGGACCCAGAGGUUCUUUGAGUCCUUUGGGGAUCUGUCCACUCCUGAUGCUGUUAUGGGCAACCCUAAGGUGAAGGCUCAUGGCAAGAAAGUGCUCGGUGCCUUUAGUGAUGGCCUGGCUCACCUGGACAACCUCAAGGGCACCUUUGCCACACUGAGUGAGCUGCACUGUGACAAGCUGCACGUGGAUCCUGAGAACUUCAGGCUCCUGGGCAACGUGCUGGUCUGUGUGCUGGCCCAUCACUUUGGCAAAGAAUUCACCCCACCAGUGCAGGCU